UACGUAGGGGCGUAGCGUUGUCCGGAAUUAUUGGGCGUAAAGCGCGCGCAGGCGGUUCUUUAAGUCUGAUGUGAAAGCCCACGGCUCAACCGUGGAGGGUCAUUGGAAACUGGAGAACUUGAGUACAGAAGAGGAAAGCGGAAUUCCACGUGUAGCGGUGAAAUGCGUAGAGAUGUGGAGGAACACCAGUGGCGAAGGCGGCUUUCUGGUCUGUAACUGACGCUGAGGCGCGAAAGCGUGGGGAGCAAACAGG
rnacentral:rRNA from 1 species